rnacentral:lncRNA from 1 species
UUCAUCCUAACCGAUGACGAAUAUUCUUCCUUUGAGUUUAUCCUUGAUAUGUUCACUUUAAUUAGGUGACAAAUACUCUCUCUUUGGUCUUCUUCCCAGUAACCGGACGUUAUAAACCCUAUUUGAGUUCUCUCCCCGGUAGGUUAUUCUUACCCAGUAACAGGUAAUGAAUACACCUCUUUCUCCUCAGCGAGCCAUCCUUGAUAUGUUUACUCUAACCGGUAAC